AUUGAACGCUGGCGGCAGGCCUAACACAUGCAAGUCGAGCGGGGUUUUCGGACCUAGCGGCGGACGGGUGAGUAAUGCGUAGGAAGCUGCCCGAUAGAGGGGGAUACCAGUUGGAAACGACUGUUAAUACCGCAUAAUGUCUACGGACCAAAGUGUAGGACCUUCGGGCCACAUGCUAUCGGAUGCGCCUACGUGGGAUUAGCUAGUUGGUGAGGUAAUGGCUCACCAAGGCGACGAUCUCUAGCUGGUUUGGGAGGAUGAUCAGCCACACUGGAACUGAGACACGGUCCAGACUCCUACGGGAGGCAGCAGUGGGGAAUAUUGGACAAUGGGCGCAAGCCUGACCCAGCCAUGCCGCGUGUGUGAAGAAGGCCUUCGGGUUGUAAAGCACUUUCAGCGAGGAGGAAGGGUGGUGUGUUAAUAGCACAUCAUUUUGACGUUACUCGCAGAAGAAGCACCGGCUAACUCUGUGCCAGCCGCCGCAGUAA
rnacentral:rRNA from 1 species